CAAGCUUUUAUAAUAAACGAAGAGAAGAAUUUUGAUAUAUUUUUUGACAAAACUUGACAAACAACUGAUUUGUAUUGUUUAGAGACCCCUGCUCCUCCCCGUCAAUGUUUGCUGGGUAAAGCUAAGAUCAAGUCCGUGAAGUUGACAGGAAUCCUUACUUUCGGAUUCGUCCUCUGUUGGACUCCGUAUCAGAUUGCUAACAUCUGGUAUUUUAUUGACCAAGAAUCCUUCUUCAAACUGGAUUUCCGAAUUCAAAAGUUUCUCUGGGUGUUCUGCUGCGUCAACAACUGCGUCAAUCCCUUCUUGUACAACAUGUUUUCGUACAAUUCCAGCGUCCACUGCAGCAGGAAGCAAAGCAGAAGCGGACAUGAAGCACAAGACUCGGAAACCAGGCCCGGAAUAGAGCUACAGGAAACUCCAUUUCUACAAAAAGAUCGGUUUGUCGGGAGCAAGGUUUCAAGAAGUCUUCUCAUCAACUCAAGAAGGAACAGAGCUUCAAUAAAUUCAAGGAUUUCAUUCUCCAGCACUAAGAUGUAAUAAGUUGACUGGAAAAACGACUUAAGUCGGCAUAAGAAAUUGGCUCCCUCUCUCUAGGUUUCCAACCUUAUGGAAAAUUAAAUGUGAACCUCAUUCAGUACCCUCACACAGAUAUCUGUGAAAUUAAAGUGAAAACUGAAAGUUUUCAGAUAUAUAUAAUUAUUAUCUCAGACUACUGCACGCUUCGGUAAAAAUACCAGUUUUGUACUGAAAAAUUAAAAGCUUUAAAGGAACUAAGUUCUUCCCACAAACUUAAAUUUUCUAGUUCCUAGACCUUUGCAACCU
rnacentral:lncRNA from 1 species